CAGGCUUCUCUGCAAGGAGGGAAUUAUUACAGAGGCCGUAUUGAUCGCCUUGAGGGGAGGUCAUGGUGCGGGAACUGCCCGCUGGCGGCGUUCCACGGAGAACUGUAAUGAAUGCAGCUGAAUUAACGCCUGACUCGAGCCAUCACCCGGCCUCCUGGUUUCCAGGACCUGCCGUACGCCCCAACGUGGAGCAGAGGGCCUGGCUAAUCCACACCCUGACUCUUCGUGACCAUUUGCGGAGACCACCAUGUGUCUUGGCCUUGGAAAGAGAAGAAUAAAUAAGAGGGUCCACACUCAGGAGACCCAUGCCCGCUGAGAGAGGCCUCCUGUGUCCCAGGAGGGGAGCGUCUGAGCCCAGGCUGUGGACAGAACACGGUUUAUCCGGCUAACCUGCCCCCCACCCAGUGGACUUAUCUGCAUCUUCCCCGAGAAGCUGGGUGACUACAGAGAGCAGGGGCUUUUAACAACAGUCGAGCAGCAAAAAUCCUCCUGGACCCACCGGCCAGAGCGAUGUUCACCUGGGUCCAACCCUUGAUUCCUGGCGUGAGCUCCGUCCAACCAGCAGGAUGUGUGUUGGUGUGAAGCCGUCCUGCCCUGCCCAGAACGGGCCCCUAUUCAGCUUCUUGCAGACUAAACCUUGAUUUUGGAAAAACUCAGAAGUCCACAACAGUAAACGUGGAAGGCGGGCCUUCCGAGUCACUGACCCCUCACUGAGACAAAGGGGCUGGGAUGGCCCAGCUAAGGGCCAGCUCUGGGAAUGCGAUGAAGUCGAUCCCACUCAAACCCAUAAUGGCCUCAACAGAAGCCCCCCGAGCUGGAACAUCCAAGUGGAGGGAAGUGCAGUGCUCUGGGGCGUGUCAGUGCAAGAAGACCCCCGACGACCACACCACCUCUGCAGGACUCUCUCACGAUCCCUACUCUCGAAAGCAGCCAGGAUCAGGCCUGCGGGGUGUGGCGUCCUCUUCACGCUGCCAUUGCUCUUUUCGGGCAGUGUGCUCAAGUCCUUGGAUAGCUAGGUGAAUUCUAAUUUAGAAGAUGCACGCUCUCGUCCUAAAGUAUCACAAUCCGGCCAUCCAUUUCCUAACGACCCUCUUCAGAUUUACGACGAUAUGAGAAACUUCCU